UACGGGGGGAGCAAGCGUUGUUCGGAUUUACUGGGCGUAAAGGGCGCGUAGGCGGUCAGCACAAGUCAGUUGUGAAAUCUCCGGGCUUAACUCGGAAAGGUCAACUGAUACUGUGCGACUAGAGUGCAGAAGGGGCAACUGGAAUUCUCGGUGUAGCGGUGAAAUGCGUAGAUAUCAGGAGGAACACCCGUGGCUAAGGCGGUUCUCUAGUACGGUACUGACGCUGAGACGCGAAAGCGUGGGGAGCGAACAGG
rnacentral:rRNA from 1 species